AUCAACCUCAUCAUCAUCAAGAGUUUAUCUACUCCAGUCUUUCCCCACUCGUCGCCUGAGUAUACAAUAUCUCUCUAUGUGUCCUGUGUUUCGUGCUCGUGUCUGCCUGCCUGAUCACUGGCCUGCCUGCUUGCUUGUUGUCGUUUCUCCCUUGAGGAUUUUUGGACACCUGUUUCCAGUUCCCUUUUUGGCAUUGUGUUUUCGUUGCACAAUUAAAGAACUGUUUGGAUUGUG